rnacentral:rRNA from 1 species
GUGGGGAAUAUUGGGCAAUGGGGGAAACCCUGACCCAGCAACGCCGCGUGAGGGAAGAAGGUUUUCGGAUUGUAAACCUCUGUCCUUGGUGACGAAGGAAGUGGCGGUAACCAAGGAGGAAGCCCCGGCUAACUACGUGCCAGCAGCCGCGGUAAUACGUAGGGGGCAAGCGUUGUCCGGAAUGACUGGGCGUAAAGGGCGUGUAGGCGGCCGAUUAAGUCUGGAGUGAAAGUCCUGCUUUCAAGGUGGGAAUUGCUUUGGAGACUGGUUGGCUUGAGUGCGGAAGAGGUAAGUGGAAUUCCCAGUGUAGCGGUGAAAUGCGUAGAGAUUGGGAGGAACACCAGUGGCGAAGGCGACUUACUGGGCCGUAACUGACGCUGAGGCGCGAAAGCGUGGGGAGCGAACAGGAUUAGAAACCCCAGUAGUCC